UGGGGAAUUUUGGACAAUGGGCGCAAGCCUGAUCCAGCCAUGCCGCGUGAGUGAAGAAGGCCUUCGGGUUGUAAAGCUCUUUCAGCUGGAAAGAAAUCGUACUUAUUAAUACUAGGUGCGGAUGACGGUACCAGCAGAAGAAGCACCGGCUAACUACGUGCCAGCAGCCGCGGUAAUACGUAGGGUGCGAGCGUUAAUCGGAAUUACUGGGCGUAAAGCGUGCGCAGGCGGCUUUUUAAGCCAGAUGUGAAAUCCCCGGGCUCAACCUGGGAACUGCAUUUGGAACUGGAAGGCUAGAGUGUAGCAGAGGGGGGUAGAAUUCCACGUGUAGCAGUGAAAUGCGUAGAGAUGUGGAGGAAUACCGAUGGCGAAGGCAGCCCCCUGGGCUAACACUGACGCUCAUGCACGAAAGCGUGGGGAGCAAACAGGAUUAGAUACCCUGGUAGUCCACGCCCUAAACGAUGUCAACUAGGUGUUGGGGAAGGAGACUUCUUUAGUACCGCAGCUAACGCGUGAAGUUGACCGCCUGGGGAGUACGGUCGCAAGAUUA
rnacentral:rRNA from 1 species